AACGAACGCUGGCGGCAUGCCUAACACAUGCAAGUCGAACGAGACCUUCGGGUCUAGUGGCGCACGGGUGCGUAACGCGUGGGAACCUGCCCUUAGGUUCGGAAUAACUCCCCGAAAGGGGUGCUAAUACCGGAUAAUGUCUUCCGACCAAAGAUUUAUCGCCUUUGGAUGGGCCCGCGUUGGAUUAGCUAGUUGGUAGGGUAAAAGCCUACCAAGGCGACGAUCCAUAGCUGGUCUGAGAGGAUGGUCAGCCACACUGGGACUGAGACACGGCCCAGACUCCUACGGGAGGCAGCAGUGGGGAAUAUUGGACAAUGGGCGAAAGCCUGAUCCAGCAAUGCCGCGUGAGUGAUGAAGGCCGUAGGGUUGUAAAGCUCUUUUACCCGGGAUGAUAAUGACAGUACCGGGAGAAUAAGCUCCGGCUAACUCCGUG
rnacentral:rRNA from 1 species